GUUAAAUUCAAACACCCUGGGUUUGGUUUUUGCUGGUGGGGGUGGAGUGGAGUUCCUGGAGAAGCAAAGCAGUCCUAAAUCACCGAGUUGAUGGGUCUUUUGGGUGUUCCCACCAGUCCUUACUGAUCUCUACAAAAUCCCAAGUUACCAAGCUCUUCAACAAAUAGAAGACAGCUGUCAAACACCAUGGGCUACAGAUACAACGGGCAUAUUCGGCCAUCUUUCAGAAGAGUGAUAACAAAUGACUUAAUUUGGAAGAUUCACUCAAGAUCCAAUUUGAUUCAUCGCGGACAUGCCUGCACCUAAGUUCCUGGGGCCAAAGUGAGGAGGCAGCAGUUCUCCACCCAAUCAGACCAUCAUCCUCUUUUUGUAACUAGUAUCUUUAACACUCCCCUUACUAUCCUGAAAGGUAAUUUGUGGAUAAUAUUACCUACCAAUACAAAUUUCAAAAAAAAAUCAGAUUCAUCAAGUGACUCUUCAGUCAACAACUGUUCAAGAACGCUGUUAACAUCACGUGUAGGAAUGCUACGUUUUCUAGAAUUUGACAUUUUCAGCAAUCGAGAAUUACUAUAUUUUGUAAACAGAAAUGCCACUACUAGAAACAGAAUGCUAUAAAUAGAAUGACGUCUUUUGUUUUCAAGGUCAAUAUGUCAGAGCGAUGCAAAAAUAAUAAAAGUGAGAUAUUUCAUGGCAAAGUU
rnacentral:lncRNA from 1 species